rnacentral:rRNA from 1 species
GACGAACGCUGGCGGCGUGCUUAACACAUGCAAGUCGAACGGAAAGGCCUCUUUCGGGGGUACUCGAGUGGCGAACGGGUGAGUAACACGUGAGUAACCUGCCCUUGACUUUGGGAUAACUUCAGGAAACUGGGGCUAAUACCGGAUAGGAGCUCCUGCUGCAUGGUGGGGGUUGGAAAGUUUCGGCGGUUGGGGAUGGACUCGCGGCUUAUCAGCUUGUUGGUGGGGUAGUGGCUUACCAAGGCUUUGACGGGUAGCCGGCCUGAGAGGGUGACCGGCCACAUUGGGACUGAGAUACGGCCCAGACUCCUACGGGAGGCAGCAGUGGGGAAUAUUGCACAAUGGGUGGAAGCCUGAUGCAGCAACGCCGUGUGCGGGAUGACGGCCUUCGGGUUGGAAACCGCUUUCGCUCAUGACGAAGCUUUGUGUGACGGUAGUGGGUAAAGAAGCACCGGCUAACUACGUG